UUAAGUUAUUAAGGGCGCACGGUGGAUGCCUUGGCACUAGAAGCCGAUGAAGGACGUUACUAACGACGAUAUGCUUUGGGGAGCUGUAAGUAAGCUUUGAUCCAGAGAUUUCCGAAUGGGGAAACCCAGCAUGAGUUAUGUCAUGUUAUCGAUAUGUGAAUACAUAGCAUAUCAGAAGGCACACCCGGAGAACUGAAACAUCUUAGUACCCGGAGGAAGAGAAAGAAAAUUCGAUUCCCUUAGUAGCGGCGAGCGAAACGGGAAGAGCCCAAACCAACAAGCUUGCUUGUUGGGGUUGUAGGACACUCUAUACGGAGUUACAAAGGACGACAUUAGACGAAUCAUNUGGAAAGAUGAAUCAAAGAAGGUAAUAAUCCUGUAGUCGAAAAUGUUGUCUCUCUUGAGUGGAUCCUGAGUACGACGGAGCACGUGAAAUUCCGUCGGAAUCUGGGAGGACCAUCUCCUAAGGCUAAAUACUCUCUAGUGACCGAUAGUGAACCAGUACCGUGAGGGAAAGGUGAAAAGCACCCCGGAAGGGGAGUGAAAUAGAACCUGAAACCGUGUGCUUACAAGUAGUCAGAGCCCGUUAAUGGGUGAUGGCGUGCCUUUUGUAGAAUGAACCGGCGAGUUACGAUUUGAUGCAAGGUUAAGCAGUAAAUGUGGAGCCGUAGCGAAAGCGAGUCUGAAUAGGGCGUUUAGUAUUUGGUCGUAGACCCGAAACCAGGUGAUCUACCCUUGGUCAGGUUGAAGUUCAGGUAACACUGAAUGGAGGACCGAACCGACUUACGUUGAAAAGUGAGCGGAUGAACUGAGGGUAGCGGAGAAAUUCCAAUCGAACCUGGAGAUAGCUGGUUCUCUCCGAAAUAGCUUUAGGGCUAGCCUCAAGUGAUGAUUAUUGGAGGUAGAGCACUGUUUGGACGAGGGGCCCCUCUCGGGUUACCGAAUUCAGACAAACUCCGAAUGCCAAUUAAUUUAACUUGGGAGUCAGAACAUGGGUGAUAAGGUCCGUGUUCGAAAGGGAAACAGCCCAGACCACCAGCUAAGGUCCCAAAAUAUAUGUUAAGUGGAAAAGGAUGUGGCGUUGCCCAGACAACUAGGAUGUUGGCUUAGAAGCAGCCAUCAUUUAAAGAGUGCGUAAUAGCUCACUAGUCGAGUGACACUGCGCCGAAAAUGUACCGGGGCUAAACAUAUUACCGAAGCUGUGGAUUGUCCUUUGGACAAUGGUAGGAGAGCGUUCUAAGGGCGUUGAAGCAUGAUCGUAAGGACAUGUGGAGCGCUUAGAAGUGAGAAUGCCGGUGUGAGUAGCGAAAGACGGGUGAGAAUCCCGUCCACCGAUUGACUAAGGUUUCCAGAGGAAGGCUCGUCCGCUCUGGGUUAGUCGGGUCCUAAGCUGAGGCCGACAGGCGUAGGCGAUGGAUAACAGGUUGAUAUUCCUGUACCACCUAUAAUCGUUUUAAUCGAUGGGGGGACGCAGUAGGAUAGGCGAAGCGUGCGAUUGGAUUGCACGUCUAAGCAGUAAGGCUGAGUAUUAGGCAAAUCCGGUACUCGUUAAGGCUGAGCUGUGAUGGGGAGAAGACAUUGUGUCUUCGAGUCGUUGAUUUCACACUGCCGAGAAAAGCCUCUAGAUAGAAAAUAGGUGCCCGUACCGCAAACCGACACAGGUAGUCAAGAUGAGAAUUCUAAGGUGAGCGAGCGAACUCUCGUUAAGGAACUCGGCAAAAUGACCCCGUAACUUCGGGAGAAGGGGUGCUCUUUAGGGUUAACGCCCAGAAGAGCCGCAGUGAAUAGGCCCAAGCGACUGUUUAUCAAAAACACAGGUCUCUGCUAAACCGUAAGGUGAUGUAUAGGGGCUGACGCCUGCCCGGUGCUGGAAGGUUAAGAGGAGUGGUUAGCUUCUGCGAAGCUACGAAUCGAAGCCCCAGUAAACGGCGGCCGUAACUAUAACGGUCCUAAGGUAGCGAAAUUCCUUGUCGGGUAAGUUCCGACCCGCACGAAAGGCGUAACGAUUUGGGCACUGUCUCAACGAGAGACUCGGUGAAAUCAUAGUACCUGUGAAGAUGCAGGUUACCCGCGACAGGACGGAAAGACCCCGUGGAGCUUUACUGUAGCCUGAUAUUGAAAUUCGGCACAGCUUGUACAGGAUAGGUAGGAGCCUUUGAAACGUGAGCGCUAGCUUACGUGGAGGCGCUGGUGGGAUACUACCCUAGCUGUGUUGGCUUUCUAACCCGCACCACUUAUCGUGGUGGGAGACAGUGUCAGGCGGGCAGUUUGACUGGGGCGGUCGCCUCCUAAAAGGUAACGGAGGCGCUCAAAGGUUCCCUCAGAAUGGUUGGAAAUCAUUCAUAGAGUGUAAAGGCAUAAGGGAGCUUGACUGCGAGACCUACAAGUCGAGCAGGGUCGAAAGACGGACUUAGUGAUCCGGUGGUUCCGCAUGGAAGGGCCAUCGCUCAACGGAUAAAAGCUACCCCGGGGAUAACAGGCUUAUCUCCCCCAAGAGUUCACAUCGACGGGGAGGUUUGGCACCUCGAUGUCGGCUCAUCGCAUCCUGGGGCUGUAGUCGGUCCCAAGGGUUGGGCUGUUCGCCCAUUAAAGCGGUACGCGAGCUGGGUUCAGAACGUCGUGAGACAGUUCGGUCCCUAUCCGUCGUGGGCGUAGGAAAUUUGAGAGGAGCUGUCCUUAGUACGAGAGGACCGGGAUGGACAUACCUCUGGUGUACCAGUUGUCGUGCCAACGGCAUAGCUGGGUAGCUAUGUGUGGACGGGAUAAGUGCUGAAAGCAUCUAAGCAUGAAGCCCCCCUCAAGAUGAGAUUUCCCAACUUCGGUUAUAAGAUCCCUCAAAGAUGAUGAGGUUAAUAGGUUCGAGGUGGAAGCAUGGUGACAUGUGGAGCUGACGAAUACUAAUCGAUCGAAGACUUAAUCAA
rnacentral:rRNA from 1 species